rnacentral:misc_RNA from 1 species
ACCGACGAGAACGACUACCAGAUCAAGCUGCGCAACCUGCGCCGUUUCCUCGAAGAGGGGGACAAGGCCAAAGUCACGUUGCGCUUCCGCGGGCGGGAGCUGUCACACCAGGAGCUGGGCAUGCGCCAGCUCGAGCGUAUCCGCGAGGAUCUGGCCGACAUCGGCGUGGUCGAGCAGAUGCCCCGGCUCGAAGGGCGGCAGAUGGUGAUGGUGAUCGCGCCCAAGAAAAGCAAAUAGAUGAUGGUCUUGCGCUUCGAUUCGCGGUAAAAUAAAAGCUUUCUCGCCGUCGUGGCGAGAA